UUUAAAGUCUAACCUGCCCAAUGAGUAGUUAAAUGGCCGCGGUAAUUUGACCGUGCAAAGGUAGCAUAAUCAUUAGUUUUUUAAUUGAAAGCUGGUAUGAAUGGUUGGACGAGAAAGUAACUGUCUCAAUUUAAUUGUAUUUAGAAUUUUAUUUAUAAGUAAAAAAGCUUAUAUAUAUUUAAAAGACGAGAAGACCCUAUAGAGUUUUAUAAUUUAUUAAAUUAAAAAGGUUUAGAAUAUUUAUAUUUUUAAUUUAGUAAAUUAUUUUGCUGGGGCAGCAGAAAAAUUAAAUAAACUUUUUUUUAUUUAUUAACAUUGAUUUAUGAAUAAAUGAUCCAUAGAUUAUGAUUAUAAGAUUAAAUUACCUUAGGGAUAACAGCGUAAUUUUUUUUUAGAGUUCUUAUCGAAAAAAGAGUUUGCGACCUCGAUGUUGGAUUAAAAUUAACUUUUGGUGCAGGAGCUAAAAGGUUAGGUCUGUUCGACCUUUAAAAUUUUACAUGAUCUGAGUUUAAACCGGCGUGAGCCAGGUUGGUUUCUAUCUUUAAAUAGUUAUAAAUACUUUAGUACGAAAGGAUUAGGUAUUUUUAAAAUUUAAUAUAUUAUGAAUAUGAGUA
rnacentral:rRNA from 1 species